rnacentral:rRNA from 1 species
GAAUAUUUAACGGCCGCGGUAUCCUGACCGUGCAAAGGUAGCAUAAUCAUUUGCCUAUUAAUUGUAGGCUAGAAUGAAAGGACAAACGAGAAUAUAACUGUCUCCUUAAAGCCCAUAAAACUUUAUAUUUGAGUGAAGAAGCUCAAAUAAAACCGCAGGACAAGAAGACCCUAUAGAGCUUUACCUUCAAUACUUAAUCAAUAAAUAUUACGGUUCGGUUGGGGCGACCAGGGGCUACUUAACACCCCUAAUAACCUUAGAUAUACAAAUCUCAUAAAUGAUCCUAAAUCUAGAUCACUGAAUCUAGCUACCUUAGGGAUAACAGGCUAAUCCUCUUUAAGAGCCCAUAUCGACAAGAGGGAUUGGCACCUCGAUGUUGGCUUAGGACCUCUUCGUGAUGUAGCAGUCACGAUUAGAUGGUUUGUUCAACCAUUAAUAUCCU